AAUGGGACGUGAGGGCACGGUCAAAAGUUCAACGCGACGUGGGCGUACCACACUAAGGGGCGGAUACGGUCAAAGGUCAAAGCAAGUGGGCGGUCCCUCGCAACGUGGGUGGUCCGGAAGUAAUUCACCCCUCCCCCUCCUCUGCAAAGGAGACGGUGAAAAAGAGUCCCAGCCGUGGUUUCCAGGAAACAGUCCAUGUUAAAAAGGACAGUGAACUGGAAGUGAUUCUGAGGAGGAGACGCAAACAGGCCUGCGAUCCCAAAACUGAAGUAGAUGAUGGCCAGCUGAGUAAAGUCUCCUCAUCCAACAGUCUGAACGGUCGGCACAGCUCUGACUCCGGUAAAGACUCAGACGUGCCAGGCAGCAGCUCUCUGUCAGGCAGCGAGCGCGGAUCUAGAACCAGCUCAGACUCAGGCCGAGAGCCAGCCGCGGCACGACAGAUCUCAGAUUCUGGCACAGAGCCUAAAGCAACCAAUCAGCCAGACAUAGUCUGCGGCUCUCUCACUAAAAAAGAGACCACCGAGCCCCCCAAACCCGUCUCCAAUGGAUGCUGUUCAGGGGAAGUGAAGGAUGGCGAUCCAGAGAAGUGGGCGGGGUCUAACGGGAUUGACCACACAGCUGCAAGUGGCGAGCUGCAUGCCACCAUCUGCUCUUCUGCACAAAGCCCCGACGCAGCACACGGUAGCACAGACGCCGACUGCUAACAGCAAGUUGCACCGCGAGGACAGCUCAAUAAUUUGCACAAAAACCAUGAUUUCUACAUUUAUUUAUUUAUUUAU